UACCAGCACCCCGAGUGGUCGGGACGUUUAUUGGGCCUAAAGCAUCCGUAGCCGGUUCUACAAGUCUUCCGUUAAAUCCACCUGCUUAACAGAUGGGCUGCGGAAGAUACUAUAGAGCUAGGAGGCGGGAGAGGCAAGCGGAACUCGAUGGGUAGGGGUAAAAUCCGUUGAUCCAUUGAAGACCACCAGUGGCGAAGGCGGCUUGCCAGAACGCGCUCGACGGGUGAGG
rnacentral:rRNA from 1 species